GAGGUGUCUAUGUGCGCUCUGCACCCUGAAUGAACGGGGUGGUGCAUGUGAAACUCGCUGCUGCUGACAAGUUGUCUUGCAGUGGUAGCCAGCAAAAAACAAAAUCGCAAGGCUUAUCUUGUUACACUUAAUUCAGAGCAUGGUACAGCUCUCGUCGGUUCAGUGUCUUUGUAGAAAGCCAGAGAUGUCCAUGGUUAUACUCACAGGUCAGCAAAAGACGCUGUGUAAUUGCCUGGGAUAUGUGGAUUUACCCACAUGAAAAGCAUCAGCCAAUCUUUAAUGACUGCAGAGCAGUUUGGGUUCUGGUUCAAUGCCUUAUUUGAAAGACAUAAAAUUUAUGAGGAAGAGUGAUUUAUUUAAUCCCUGAUUGAUGGUCAAAGCUAAUGGAAAGCGUAAAGGAUACUUAAACUUUGUCAAGUCAUUGUGGCCAAUCUGAGGGCAGUGGCUGCUCCACACAGCAGAGCACAUGUCAAGCCUCAAUUUGGACAACUAAUUGGUGAAGUGUCACCUCCUCUGAAUUAGGCAGCAGCACUUAGUGGUGAUGCCAGUCCCAGGGCUGAGAUUUACCCCCCCUGUGCAUAUUACCAUGACGCUGUGUGCCAUCAUCUUGCCUGGUAUUGCUCCCAAAUGUCUUACAGAACCUCUGUAUGCCCCCAACCAAAGAUGUGCAGAAAACUGAGAAGUCAGUAUGCUCAGCCUCCAUUUUUUCUGCUUCUGUGCAUGUUCUUUGUACAUUCAUCAUGAUUGCCAUACCUCCCUUUUGCAAAAGGAUCUAGGAUCUUCGCAUUUUCUUUGUGUUCACCAAGAUCCAUCUCCAUGUAAUACAAGUCGUGGCAUAUAAUAAGGUCAUUCUGCACAGGCAGAAAAGACUCACACAUCCUGGAUGGUGCUGAAAGCAGACACACUGUGUCUUCAUGAAGGUCUAACAAAGAUCAUCAAGCCCAGCAUGACCUCUUUCUCCAAACAUCCUCUUAUUCCGUGACUGUCUUUAGAGGACCGAGAUCAGUCUGUGCUGCCCAGUCUCCAAUGCCAUCAGCUAACAUGGCAUGGUGCCAGGUGAGGUCUGGGAGAAACAGCACUAUCGUUACAGGUUUCCCUUAAAGUCCUUCAGCCCAUCAAGAAUGGAUUAUACUUUAUGCCAGCGACUGUCAUGGAUUUGUGUGUUCACCUCCUUCACUGGACCCCGCCAUUCUCACCCAUGGCAGAGAGAAGCAUCCUGUAUGUUUGAGGGAAAGCAGUGAACAGCACUGCCCACUAAACUGCCUAAUACUGUGGAAGGCACCGUCAGCAUGGAGUGACGCAGUGAGCAAACCCGUGAUAACACGUGAGCUUCUGUGUCUGAGUUUUCAGACGAGGACAACUGCAUCCACAAAGGCUUUUCCUUCUCACUGCUUUUGUCUCACAGCCUGUUGGUAACGUGGGUUGGCAGCAGCCCACACCCAAGACCACUGCAGCAACCAUGCAAUUGGUGUUGAUGAGACCUGGGCUGAAGGCUUACUUCUGUCCGGAUUGCACAAAGGACAUGUAUGCAUGUUUUGCCCAUUCCAGACACUGAACCCAAUCCUUUGCAAGGCAGCUUUCUUUCCCAAGGGUGGAAGAAAAUCAAACUGGAUUCAUCAACAUCUAGCAGAAAUCCCAUGCACUUGCAAUCAGGAGCAACAAAAUAAGCCAUAUCUACAGUCUUUGUUUUCCUUCAAGCUGGUGUACAGGCGUGCAUCUAGCAUUCUGCUGUGCCUCUAAUGUUCUCUACAUAUGCCUAAGACCUUUGAAACUUUCCUUUUGAACACAAAUGAGUGGACUUCCUGCAGUAUGGUAGAGAAUGCCUUCUUCAAUCCCCAUUUGCAGCUGGGUCUUGGAAAGGAGCAUGGUUCUACACAGCAAUUCCAGUAUGGCCUGCCUACUAGAAAAAACGGAACAAUGAAGUGUGGUAAUCACACCUCAAAGCAGGGGAAAUACAUUUGCCAUUGUAUGGGAAGAGCUGCUAUUGAAACAGCACUCAGUGAACACGAUGGGCUAAAUCCAGGGGAAUGUUCCUGUCUGGUUACCAUGCUAGCACAUUACUCGGAGGCCAGCAGCAUGGGGUGCUUGCCAUUGACCUCUUCUCAGACAGCAGGGGAGCUGGAAUACACGUGGAAUACCCAGGUGACCCUAAGGCCAUUUUCUGCCUGUACUGUCACCAUCCACAGGUGGAGGAGACCUCUUGGCCCACCCCAGCCUAUGACUGCCCGCUCUGCAACAGUGCAUAAAUAGAUUUGCAACGGUUCGUCAGUCACUGAGAGAACUCUUCCCUCCAGUUUGCCUGAUAGAGAAGGCUGUGUUUUGG